rnacentral:rRNA from 1 species
UACGGGGGGGGCAAGCGUUGUUCGGAAUUACUGGGCGUAAAGGGCUCGUAGGCGGCCAACUAAGUCCGACGUGAAAUCCCCAGGCUUAACCUGGGAACUGCGUCGGAUACUGGAUGGCUUGAAUCCGGGAGAGGGAUGCGGAAUUCCAGGUGUAGCGGUGAAAUGCGUAGAUAUCUGGAGGAAUACCGGUGGCGAAGGCGGCAUCCUGGACCGACAUUGACGCUGAGGAGCGAAAGCUAGGGGAGCAAACGGG